UAGGCAUAUGAAAACGCGGUAUUCGUAGUGUUGUUCUAUCAUUAGCAAAACAAUUUGUAUGUAAAAAGAAUCAUUCGAAUUGUUGAAAAAAAAUCUAUUUCCUGGACAACUGCUGUAAACUCGUUGCGUACUUCUCGAAUCCUGCCUGCCUGGACGUCAGUUUAGAAUCAUGGACACAAAAGCGUAACUGAUUGAAGAAACAUGUAAGCCGGUGUACCACAAAGAGGUCUUCUCGAACCAAUCUUGUACUUACUAUAUACAGCUGACAUUUCGACCAACAACUUUUUAAUGACAGCCAUGUUUGCCGAUUUAACGGCAAUAAUGACAACUGUUGAAGACCAGCGGCUGUACCUGAUUGGCUUUAAAAGUUAAUCGACAACAUUACCAAUUGAACGAAACGUUAGAAGAUUAAAAUUAAUAGCGAGUAAUCGGUUAAUGUAAACUACACUUUGCGUAAGAUCGUUUAUACAUCAAUAGUACUGGGUCAGCAGAUCAUCCCACAAAGCAGCUCGGCAAAAUAUCUAGGAAUGCACUUUGAUUCUCGACUUAACCGGAAACA